GGUCAGAUGGUGAAAUGGUAGCACGUGCACUCUUCGUAUACGUUGACCAAUGUAUGCUCGUGAGGUCUUUGUUCGAUUCGAAGUCUGGCCA